rnacentral:lncRNA from 1 species
UGCUUUUCUCCCCCUUCUGUUUGAUUUAAAGGGUUUUCCUCUAUCUCAGUAUUUCCGGACAUUGGAUCACGAUUUGUUGCUUUGAAAGAUUGUCCGAAUUUGUUUUCAUUAUCAGAACCAUCUACAUGACCCGUACCCUCUCUAAGUGAUGGUUCUCCACUUGAAUCCUUAGCUUUUCUCGUUGCUAUUUUUUUCUUCUCUGAUUUUACAGGUUCAGCCAUUCGAUUCGCAUCAACUACUUUUGAAAUAUCAUUUGCUUCUAUGACGUUUGCACUCGUGUUAUCCUGGUUGGAUGGAAGGCUCUCUUCUAAAAGCAUUGGCUUAGGAGCAUUUUGUGGUGAUCCUUCCCUUACUUCCUCAGCUCCCUCAGACUGACCAGCAUCACUUUUAUGGCAA